UGUGGCUGGGGGUGAAAGGCCAAUCAAACCGGGAGAUAGCUGGUUCUCCCCGAAAGCUAUUUAGGUAGCGCCUCGUGAAUUCAUCUCCGGGGGUAGAGCACUGUUUCGGCAAGGGGGUCAUCCCGACUUACCAACCCGAUGCAAACUGCGAAUACCGGAGAAUGUUAUCACGGGAGACACACGGCGGGUGCUAACGUCCGUCGUGAAGAGGGAAACAACCCAGACCGCCAGCUAAGGUCCCAAAGUCAUGGUUAAGUGGGAAACGAUGUGGGAAGGCCCAGACAGCCAGGAUGUUGGCUUAGAAGCAGCCAUCAUUUAAAGAAAGCGUAAUAGCUCACUGGUCGAGUCGGCCUGCGCGGAAGAUGUAACGGGGCUAAACUAUGCACCGAAGCUGCGGCAGCAGUAGCGAUACUGUUGGGUAGGGGAGCGUUCUGUAAGCCGUUGAAGGUGUGCUGUGAGGCAUGCUGGAGGUAUCAGAAGUGCGAAUGCUGACAUAAGUAACGAUAAAGCGGGUGAAAAGCCCGCUCGCCGGAAGACCAAGGGUUCCUGUCCAACGUUAAUCGGGGCAGGGUGAGUCGACCCCUAAGGCGAGGCCGAAAGGCGUAGUCGAUGGGAAACAGGUUAAUAUUCCUGUACUUGGUGUUACUGCGAAGGGGGGACGGAGAAGGCUAUGUUGGCCGGGCGACGGUUGUCCCGGUUUAAGCGUGUAGGCUGGUUUUCCAGGCAAAUCCGGAAAAUCAAGGCUGAGGCGUGAUGACGAGGCACUACGGUGCUGAAGCAACAAAUGCCCUGCUUCCAGGAAAAGCCUCUAAGCAUCAGGUAACAUCAAAUCGUACCCCAAACCGACACAGGUGGUCAGGUAGAGAAUACCAAGGCGCUUGAGAGAACUCGGGUGAAGGAACUAGGCAAAAUGGUGCCGUAACUUCGGGAGAAGGCACGCUGAUACGUAGGUGAAGCGACUUGCUCGUGGAGCUGAAAUCAGUCGAAGAUACCAGCUGGCUGCAACUGUUUAUUAAAAACACAGCACUGUGCAAACACGAAAGUGGACGUAUACGGUGUGACGCCUGCCCGGUGCCGGAAGGUUAAUUGAUGGGGUUAGCGGUAACGCGAAGCUCUUGAUCGAAGCCCCGGUAAACGGCGGCCGUAACUAUAACGGUCCUAAGG
rnacentral:rRNA from 1 species